UACGUAGGGGGCAAGCGUUGUCCGGAAUCAUUGGGCGUAAAGAGCGUGUAGGCGGCCAGAAAAGUCCGCUGUGAAAACUCGAGGCUCAACUUCGAGCUGUCGGUGGAAACUUUCUGGCUAGAGUCCGGAAGAGGAGAAUGGAAUUCCCGGUGUAGCGGUGAAAUGCGCAGAUAUCGGGAGGAACACCUAUGGCGAAGGCAGCUCGCUGGGACGUUACUGACGCUGAGACGCGAAAGCGUGGGGAGCAAACAGG
rnacentral:rRNA from 1 species